GCGUCCCUAGCUCAGCUGGUUAGAGCACCUGACUUUUAAUCAGGGGGUCCUGGGUUCGAGUCCCAGGGGACGUA
rnacentral:tRNA from 2 species